rnacentral:rRNA from 1 species
UAGGGAAUCUUCCACAAUGGACGCAAGUCUGAUGGAGCAACGCCGCGUGAGUGAAGAAGGGUUUCGGAUCGUAAAACUCUGUUGUUAGAGAAGAACACGAGUGAGAGUAACUGUUCAUUCGAUGACGGUAUCUAACCAGCAAGUCACGGCUAACUACGUGCCAG